AGUAGGGUCGACUAAUUGGGAGGUUAUCAGACUCAUGAUCUGAAGAUGUAGGUUCGAAUCCUACCCCUGCUA
rnacentral:tRNA from 1 species